rfam:Spinacia oleracea cultivar SynViroflay scaffold5891.con0008.1, whole genome shotgun sequence.
CAGCAAUGAGGAAAAACUUCGUGUACCAGAGUUGGUCUUCUACGGAGGUCCAUCGGUGACGGUAAACACAACCUCUAAGAAGUUCUGAGCUC